ACCAUAAUGUCAGCUUUAUAUACCAACCUCAACUAAUAAUAAAACUAAAACAUUUAAAUAUCUUAGUAUAGGUGAUAAAAAAGAUAAUUAAAGCCAUAGAAAUAGUACCGUAAGGGAAAACUGAAAAAGAAAUUAAAUAAAUCAUAAAAGUAAAAAAAAGCAAGAAUUAAUAUCUGUACCUUUUGCAUCAUGGUCUAACUAGUCAUAUUAGAGCAAAAAGAAUUUAAGUUCUAUUACCCGAAACUAGACGAGCUAUUUAAGAGCAGCUUAUACAGAGCACAUCCGUCUCUGUUGCAAAAGAGUGGAAAGACUUUUAAAUAGAGGCAAUACACCUAACGAGCCUAGUGAUAGCUGGUUGCUUGAUAAAUGAGUUGAAGCUCUCCUUUAAACCAUUAUUUCAAUAUAUUAACAAUAAAAAUUAAGAUUUAAAAAUUAUUCAUAAGGGGGACAGCCCUUAUGAAAAAGGAUACAACCUACAACAAUAGGUAAUGAUUAUAAUUUAUAAGGUUAAACUUCCUAGUAGGCCUAAAAGCAGCCACCUAUAAUAAAAGCGUCACAGCUUAAUUUUAACUUAACCAUCAAUAUCAAUAACAAUUCAAAACCUUAAAAACCAAACAAGUCACACUAUAAAACUAUAGUUAUAUUAAUGUUAGAAUUAGUAAUAAGAAAACUUGAUUUUCUCUAUACCAUCUGUGUAUAUCAGCAUCGAACCCAUCACUGAUAAUUACCAAACCUAAUAUAAAAACUUUACUAGCAACCCAAUUUACACUUAUUGCUAACCCUACACAGGAAUGGGAGUGAAAAAUUAAAAAAUAAAAAAGGAAUUCGGCAAACAUAAGCUUCGCCUGUUUACCAAAAACAUCACCUCUAGCUAAAUCCACAUAUAUUAGAGGCACUGCCUGCCCAGUGAACUUAUUCAACGGCCGCGGUAUUCCGACCGUGCAAAGGUAGCAUAAUCACUUGUCUUUUAAAUCAAGACUAGUAUGAACGGCAAAACGAAAGCUUAACUGUCUCCUUUAUUCAAUUAAUGAAAUUGAACUUCUUGUACAAAAGCAAGAAUUACCUAAUAAGACGAGAAGACCCUAUGGAACUUAAACCACACAACCAACUUAAUUAAUUAAUAAACUAAAUUCUGGGCCCGUUGGUUUUGGUUGGGACGACCGUGGAGAAAAAAAAUCCUCCAAGAAUUUAACCAAGAUAAACAUAACAAAGUCUCAAAAACUUGAACACUUGACCCAAUACAUUUGACAAACGAACCAAGCUACCCUAGGGAUAACAGCGCAAUCUUCUUUAAGAGUCCAUAUCACUAAGAAGGUUUACGACCUCGAUGUUGGAUCAGGAUACCCAAACAGUGCAGCCGCUGUUAAAGGUUUGUUUGUUCAACAAUUAAAAUCCUACGUGAUCUGAGUUCAGACCGGAGUAAUCCAGGUCAGUUUCUAUCUAUAAAAUUAUUUUUCCCAGUACGAAAGGACCGGAAAAAUGGAGCCAAUAGAAAUUUCAUGCUCCACUAUAAGUUAUGAAAAUAACUAAAUACAUUAAUAACAUAAGCCCCUAGACUAGGGGCUUA
rnacentral:rRNA from 1 species